UCAAUGGCAAAAGGGCAUACUGCUGUUAUUGUCAGUGAGGGGUCAGUAGUUUAAAUGAUGAAACUCUGGGGAUCAGCGUAAAGUAAACCAACAUACUGCAUGUAAGUAUCAAGUAAAUGAGCAGAGACAGCCCCUGGUUUACAAACACCUGACUUAAGCAUCGUCCAUCCUACAGGACAGGGAAGGAGGAAGAAGCUUCGAGAGGCUGGAACAGUUGAGGGAGCGCUGACACGGUAAAGGCCACUUUGCUCAUCAUCACCAGGCGUGCUGCCGAAAAUUUCCACUCUGUUUACUCCCAAGACCUUACUCCUACUAUGUGGAGACACAUUUGAAUAAAAAAUUGGCCUCUUUUCAAAGUCAAAAUUCUG
rnacentral:lncRNA from 10 species